CAGGCCCUCACGCGGCGAUGGCAGCUGAGGCGACGGGAGAUGAAACUCAUGGGGAGCAGCCAGUCUCAGUGCCACUCUGAGACUGUAGCAGGAACCUUAGAGCAAUGGGCUGGAACAGCAGAGACAAACAGAUCCAAGGCCAGCAAAUCAAAGUGUAGCAAUAACCCUGCACAGCAACAGGAACAGCAGCCGGGUAGACCCGGGGUUGUGGGUGUGGAACUAAAGUGUAGCGGAAACCUCGGUGCAGCAGCAGGAAAAUGUGGGGGCUAGACACGGAGAGAAGUCAAGCUAAGUGUACCAAACAACCCCAGACCAGUGGCAGGAAACAGCAGGGGCAGGGAGGUCCAGUUGGACAGCAAUGGACCUUGGUGUCAGCCACUGGCAACUGGCAGCAAUGGUGAAGGCGGGCAGGUCCAAUUGAGCAGCAGCUGAUGUCAGCAGCCGGCAAACAGAAAAAAUAAAUAGACAGAACCCAGGAUCACAUCACAGCUCAGCCCCAUCAAGACAAGGACAAGCACCUGAUCCCCACACCACAUGUGGCUGCUCUCCUCUCCCCUCUGACUGUGGAGAGGAGAAAGCCCAGCCCCUGACCCCAGCCAAGUCUUGGUUAGACCCCUACAUCUCAUGAUAUUGCUGCACUUCCCAAGAGAAAUCCCCCAGCCAGAAAGUUCACUCCCUAGCUAAGAGACUGCUGCAACCAUACCCCUUCCUCCCCUCCUCCGCCAGCACCAUCUCAGUGGAAUUUGAAAAUGCCCAGCCAUGCUUUUGUCUCUUAAUACUGUCCGUUCAUCAUCUCCAGAACAACAAAUAGGAAGAAAAAUUGCCUGAGAGAAAGUAAAAAAAGAAAAAGCCUAACACCCAACACAAAGAUGAUUACUUUUCCUUUCUGUAGGACAGUUUGGAAUUUCUACUUCUUGUUUCAGAAAGCGAGAAUUUUGACUUUUGGACCAGCUUUACCAUCUUAUGUCUGAAGCAGACAAAUCAUUAUCAUAAGAAUAUGAACACCACAGAAGAGCAUUUUAUGUGCACUUCACCUUCCUGUAGUCUCCUGUGGGUCCAUGUGGUGUCCUCAACAUUAGAAUUUUAACAUAGUGGUCAGACCACACCCUUGCCAUAUUCUGCCUUCUAAAGGCUGCCUGAAUGGUGAAGCCAGCUAAAAUGUGAGUAGGCACUUGAUGGAAGGGGGAACUGGGACCUGUUGACCUGUCACCCCGAGUGCAAAUGCAGUGGCAGGUUUUGCCCAGGCAAGUUGGCUCAAGCAAAGCCAGCAGCAGCUCAGGCAGCCAGCAAUGAGUCUGCCAGCAGCACCAUAGUGACCAGGGGGGACCUGCAGAAGAUUUGCACAGCUCAGCUCUUGGAAGGAAGAAGAAGAAAAUAUCAAGCUCAUCUGGCUACUGAUUUCCCCUUGACAAAAAGAAAGCACCCUUCCUCAAGGCUUUCCACAGAUAUGCAAGACCUAACUUGAAGACUUCCGCUGUUAUACCAAAUCAAAGGAAAAAAACUUCCUCCUGUUCAUUGACAAUUAGAAACUGUGUGAAAUGAGAAGAAGCUACACACGAGCUACACAAUUUCAAAGUGUAAGGUAAGAAAAAGAGUUUCAAUGCUCUUUUCCUGCCUUAUACUGCAUACAGAUUUUUUAAGUCCAAAUAAUUUUCCUUUAUUUUUAAGGGGCUAAACUUCUGCUUUGUUUCAAUGUACCAAGUACUUUGGAAUAUUAUUAAAAGUUUGCACCAUUUUUAAUUGUUGCAUAGCUAUAUGACAGAAAAAUAAUCUUUGACCAUUUAUAAAUUCUUCCUGACCCUGUACUCUACUCUGGUGAGAUCCCACCUGAAGUGCUGCAUCCAGCUCUGAGAUCCCCAGCAAAGGAAUGACAUGUAUCUGUAAUGAGUCCAGAGUAGGCCACCAUGAUGAUUAGAGGGAUGGAGCAUCUCUCCUAUGAGAAAAGGCUGAGAUAUUUGAGAUUGUUCAGCCUGGAGAAAAGAAGACUUUAGUGUGACUUAAUUGUGGCCUUGCAGUGCCAAGGAAGCUGGACAGGGGCUUUUUGCAAGAGGACAGGAUAAGGAGGAAUGGCUCCACACUGAAAGUGAGUAGAUUUGAAUCGGAUAUUAGGAAAAAAUUCUUUACUGUGGGUGGUGAGGCAUUGGAACAUGUUGUCCAAGAAGCUGGAUGCCCAAAGAACUGGAUGUCCGAUCUAGUGGAUGUCUCAUCCUGGAAAUAUUUGAAGCCAGGCUUGAUACAGCUUUGAACAACCUUGUCCGGUGGAAGGUGUCUGUACCCAUGACAGUGGUGUUGGAACUAGAUGACCUUUAAGGUCUCUUCCAAAUGAAGAUUUUCUGUGAUAAAAAUAAGUAAAUUAUUCUGAUAGAUCUCUCAUUUCUACAUACUUACUAUUGUGCUUGGUUUGUAUAAUAAGGAGAUAUUUCAUUUAAACUUUGGGUUACAGUGAAUAGUGUUGGGUGAACUUAAAUGCAGAGAGUUUAGCCUGGAUGAUCUCUAGUGAUUCAUGAAGAUAAGCUCAUUAUAACUUCAAUAAAGAAACCAUAUCUCACACAAAGGAACAAAAAUCAAAGCAAGAUGUAGCUGGAGUGUCAGGGAAAAUUGCUGUAAGUAUGCAGCAUAACUGCAUCACAUGCUUCAGAGGAAAAAACAGCAAAGAAAAAAUACUUUUUUCUAUUAAAAAACCCCACUAUUUUUAGGAUAUUUUCAGGGGUUAAGAAUUGAAAAAAAAAAGAAAAAAAAAGAGAAAAAGAUAGAUAGAAAGAAAAGAGAUAGAGAUAAGUAAUCUAUUUCAAGCCUAAGUGAAAAUUUGGUAAAUAGGAUAAAGAUUAAUUAUCUCUCUCCCUUUCUCUCUAGCUAUUCUUUAUGCAGACAAUUUUUAACUGUUGGUGAUCUGGAACCCAGAAACCUUUUUCUGUGUCUAAAUAUCUACAGAGAACAGCAGUUUCUGGAAAAAUACUUCACAAUAGAAUAACCUGGAAAGAACAGCAGAAAAUAUACCAUAAUCACUGUCCUUUUAGUGGAGCUUCUUAUAUUGUUCUUGCUGGGAGAUGAAAAAUAUCAGUGUAUGAGAUUUAUUACGGGAAAGGAAUCCCUCUUUCUGCGCUUCUCCACUGUUCCAAAUGAGCCCCACGUGGUGUAACAUACACAUCACCAUUAUAAGCUUCGUUCUUUUGCUGUAUGAAAGAGCUUUCUCUGUACUCUUUUCCAGCAGUUAUGCACAAACCAUGUUUUAACCUCCAAACCCAGCACAGUAUAGCUGAGACCUUGCCUUGUGGUUUGCAGACUGCUCACACACCUCUUGUCUCUUUUUUCCCACCAUCCUGUCCUUGUUCUGCAGCUGCACGAUAUUACCACCACAUCAAGCACCUUUUACUGUCUGACAUGCAUGGGCCUUUCACCUUCUUGGAGUCACUAAUUCUAGCAAGGUACUUGUUUGUUCAGUGAUUCCUCAGGACGUGGCUGACAUCUUGCACUUUCUUCUAAUUUGACAUCAGGCUUUUCAUUAUUGUAAUACCUUCCACAUGGAAAUCCCAUUGAUAAAAGUCAUUUGAAGACAAUGCAGUUUUGCUUUUUCUGUCUCUCUCAUUUUUAAAUGAAGAUUUCCAAAUCCCUGCAAUUGUCAUUUCUUUCACUGGAUACUGAUGGGGCCACCUUUCAGCACUAUUGUGUACAGAACUUCCCACUCAAACCAAAAAAGGACAUAAUUCUAAUAACAUGUCAUCUGAAGAACAGUUAUCUCUUCCUCCCUCAGACUGGCUUCCUCUUCAUAUUAGGAUCUUUUGUGUCCAUGACACAGACUUGUCAGUAAAAUCUCAUUAAGAGGGAUGCUCACAAAUGAAGUUGUGCUAAUACAUAGGUCUUGGUCCUUGGGUAUUUAGCUUAUUUCUUUUCUCAUGGGGCAAUCCACCUAUUCUUACCCUACAGUUUCCUUCUCUUUUUCUGGAGAAUAAGAAAUUUUUGCUGAUUUCAAACAUAUGCAUAGCAUUUCUGCCCUAACCUCUUUUAAAACAAGCAUUCAUCAUUUAAUCUUGAAUCAUUAAUGCAACAUUUUAAUUUUUCAGGUAAAAGCAGCCUGACAUGCUCAGGUAAAAGUAGCAGACUGAGAUGUUGUAACCAUAGACCUCAGAUGCCCCUAGGAAAUUCAACGUGCUUUAGCUAAGCUGUUCUCAAUUUCAGGGUUGUGGGUGUUUGGAAUUAGCACUUGUCACAUUUAUCUUAUGUUAGAGUUGUUACAAAUGCAUCACCAUGACAUUUUAACAAGCUGCCACUAUAGAUUAGCGCUACCUAGCUUUUACAUGGCAUUUUAGAUGUGAAUCUCAAGCACAAUACAGAAGAUGGUAAGCAAUGUUUCUGUCAUUAAGCAGACAAAUAAGAGUGAGAGACAGUGUGUUUAAGAAGCCUGCAAGAGGCUGCUCAGGAAAGCCAUUCCUGACAACUUACAUGGGGUCAGUAACAUCCUGAGCCAGUAUGAUCUCUCCCUGCCUGCCAGCAAAACUUCAGAAACAACUUGGAGAUAUGGGUCCAAAGAGUAGGGUUUUCCAUACCAUGCUAUGGAUCUUGAACCCUUGAUACUGCAAAAGAGUAAGGGCAAGACACAAGGCACCUUGCAAGACUCCACUUCCAUGGGCUGGCCUUCUCCUAAAAUGUAUUCUCAGUUGCUUUUUCACCAGGUGUGCUUUUUCUGUUCUAGUAUGUUCCAGUGCCAUAUUUUCAGACUCUAUUCAGACCAGAUCCUACUGCUGAAACCACCAGCAAAAACCUUCCCAAUUUAUAUGUGAAAAGCAAAGAAAGACACUAAUCAAAACAUGCUUCCAUAUGAAAAUGUCAGUAACCAUCUAAAACUGCAAUGUAUUUCUUUAGCAGAUGAUUAAAAACAAGCUGGCUCUCAGCCAGCUACUCUACUCUGCUGUGCUGUACCGUACCGUAUCUUCCUUCACUAAAGAACACUGAAGCUUUUUUUACUAAUCUCUAACAUUGAUAAAAAGCAAGUUAAGCAGCAGACAGAGAAAAGAAAAAAAAAACAUGUUCAAGCACCCUUUUGAUAGAAUAAAACAAAG